AGCCAUGCAUGUUUCCGCAAUCAGGGACGAAUAGCUCAGUAAAACUGCGAUGAUUUAGUCUGGCUGUGUAGAUAACUACGUGAAAAUGUAGCUAAGGGAAGGCAGAAUAAGACGCAGGACUAUCAGUUAGUUGGUAGUGUAAUGGACUACCAAGACAGUGACGGUUGACGGGAAAUUAGGGUUUUGUACCGGAGAGGGAGCCUGAGAGAUUGCUCCCACGUCCAAGGACGGCAGCAGGCGCGAAAAUUGCCCACUCUUUGCAGGAGGCAGUUAUGAGACGUGAAGAUGAGUAUCUUGUAAAGAGGGAUAGGAGAAUUGGAGGGCAAGUUUGGUGCCAGCAGCCGCGGUAAUACCGACUCCAAGAGUGUGUAUGAGAGAUGCUGCAGUUAAAAAGUCCGUAGUCAUAGAAGGGCAAAGAGAGAUGCGAGGUCUCACAGUGCGAUGAUGGAGGAGCCGAUGGGGAACAUAGUAUACCAGGGCGAGAGAUGAAAUGCCAAGACCCCUGGUGGACUGAGCGAGGCGAAGGCGAUGUUCUUGUAGGCAUUCGGUGAUCAAGGACGAAGGCUGGAGUAUCGAAAGUGAUUAGAUACCGCAGUAGUUCCAGCAGUAAAAGAUGCCGACAUGCUCAUUGGACACAGUGGGCAGGGAGAAAUCUUAGAGUUCGGGCUCUGGGGAUAGUAUGCUCGCAAGGGUGAAAAUUAAAGAAAUUGACGGAGCUACACCACAAGGAGUGGAUUGUGCGGCUUAAUUUGACUCAACGCGAGGAAACUUACCAGGCCAAGUAUUGUGUAGAAACGAGCAAUACAGGAGUGGUGCAUGGUCGUU
rnacentral:rRNA from 1 species